rnacentral:rRNA from 1 species
GGACUACACGGGUAUCUAAUCCUGUUUGCUCCCCACGCUUUCGUGCAUGAGCGUCAGUAUCGACCCAGGGGGCUGCCUUCGCCAUCGGUGUUCCUCCACAUCUCUACGCAUUUCACUGCUACACGUGGAAUUCCACCCCCCUCUGCCGUACUCGAGUCUUGCAGUCACAAGCGCAGUUCCCAGGUUAAGCCCGGGGAUUUCACACCUGUCUUACAAAACCGCCUGCGCACGCUUUACGCCCAGUAAUUCCGAUUAACGCUCGCACCCUACGUAUUACCGCGGCUGCUGGCAC